rnacentral:rRNA from 1 species
AGGGAGUUUGAUCCUGGCUCAGGAUGAACGCUAGCUACAGGCUUAACACAUGCAAGUCGAGGGGCAGCAUGGGAGUUGCUUGCAAUUCCCGAUGGCGACCGGCGCACGGGUGAGUAACGCGUAUCCAACCUUCCCGUCACUCAGGGAUAGCCCGCCGAAAGGCGAAUUAAUACCUGAUGAUCUCCUUUGCGGACAUCUAAUGAGGAGUAAAGGUUUUUCCGGUGACGGAUGGGGAUGCGUCUGAUUAGGUUGUUGGCGGGGUAACGGCCCACCAAGCCAUCGAUCAGUAGGGGUUCUGAGAGGAAGGUCCCCCACAUUGGAACUGAGACACGGUCCAAACUCCUACGGGAGGCAGCAGUGAGGAAUAUUGGUCAAUGGGCGAGAGCCUGAACCAGCCAAGUAGCGUGGAGGAUGACGGCCCUACGGGUUGUAAACUCCUUUUAUCAGGGGAUAAAGUCCACUACGUGUAGUGGUUUGCAGGUACCUGAUGAAUAAGGACCGGCUAAUUCCGUGCCAGCAGCCGCGGUAAUACGGAAGGUCCGGGCGUUAUCCGGAUUUAUUGGGUUUAAAGGGAGCGCAGACGGGCUGUUAAGCGUGACGUGAAAUCCGGGGGCUCAACCUUCGGCUGCGUCGCGAACUGGCGGCCUUGAGUGGACGGUAGGCAGGCGGAAUUCGUGGUGUAGCGGUGAAAUGCUUAGAUAUCACGAAGAACCCCGAUUGCGAAGGCAGCUUGCCGCAGUCUUACUGACGUUCAUGCUCGAAGGUGCGGGUAUCGAACAGGAUUAGAUACCCUGGUAGUCCCCU